rnacentral:rRNA from 1 species
GUCAAAUGAAGUAAGGCUUACGGUGGAUACCUAGGCACUCAGAGACGAAGAAGGGCGUGGAAACCAACGAAAUGCUUCGGGGAGCUGGAAACAAGCUAUAAUCCGGAGAUUCCCGAAUAGGGCAACCUCUUGUACUACUUAUUGAAUUCAUAGAUAGGAAAGAGACAACCCGGUGAAUUGAAACAUCUUAGUAGCCGGAGGAAAAGAAAGCAAACGCGAUUCCCUUAGUAGCGGCGAGCGAAAUGGGAACAGCCUAAACCAGGUUAAAAACUGGGGUUGUGGGAAAACAUAAAAUAGAAAGCCGCUCCCUCUUUUGGAGGGCAGCAGCCAAUUAAUCUCUAGAUGAAGCAGCUGAAUCCUGCACCAUAGAUGGUGAAAGUCCAGUAGUUAAAAGAAGAUUUUUCUAAGUUUAUCCCGAGUAGCAUGGGACACGUGAAAUCCCGUGUGAAUCCACGAGGACCACCUCGUAAGGCUAAAUACUCCUGAGUGACCGAUAGCGAAAUAGUACCGCGAGGGAAAGGUGAAAAAGAACCCCUGUAGGGGAGUGAAAAAGAACAUGAAACCGUAAGCUGUCAAACAGUGGGAGGGUGUGCUUUGCAACACCUGACCGCGUUCCUGUUGAAGAAUGAGCCGGCGACUUAUAGAAAGUGGCUUGGUUAAGGAAUUUCAUCCGGAGCCAAAGCGAAAGCGAGUCUGAAUAGGGCACUUUUGUCACUUUUUAUGGACCCGAACCCGGGUGAUCUAACCAUGACCAGGAUGAAGCUUGGGUAAAACCAAGUGGAGGUCCGAACCGACCGAUGUUGAAAAAUCGGCGGAUGAGUUGUGGUUAGGGGUGAAAUGCCAAUCGAACUCGGAGCUAGCUGGUUCUCCCCGAAAUGCGUUGAGGCGCAGCGGUUGACGAAUGGGCUAUCUAGGGGUAAAGCACUGUUUCGGUGCGGGCUGCGAGAGCGGUACCAAAUCGUAGCAAACUAAGAAUACUAGGUAUUGCUUUCCGUCAACCAGUGAGACGAUGGGGGAUAAGCUUCAUCGUCAAGAGGGAAACAGCCCAGAUCACCAGCUAAGGCCCCUAAAUGGCCGCUAAGUGAUAAAGGAGGUGAGAAUGCUGAAACAACCAGGAGGUUUGCUUAGAAGCAGCCACCCUUAAAAGAGUGCGUAAUAGCUCACUGGUGGAGCGUUCUUGCGCCGAAAAUGAACGGGACUAAGCGGCCUGCCGAAGCUGUGAGAUUUUGAAUCAAAGUACUAUCACCUACGGUGAUUGCGAAUCACCAAAUUGGUAAAGCUCUGAAAUGGUGAUAAAAGUAAAACUUUAGUAAAAUACCAAUACAAAGCCGGCUAUGUCCUUCGGGCAAAAGCAGCCAGUUCUGCCCUUCGGGCAAUUGGUAAAAUUACUUAAAAAUAAAAGCAUUCUGCUUUUAAAAGUAAAAUACUUUCGUAAAAUACUUUUGACUAUCGAAAUCGGUAGGGGAGCGUUCCGCUCUAGGGUGAAGCAUGAACGGAAGUUCGUGUGGACGAAGCGGAAGUGAGAAUGUCGGCUUGAGUAACGCAAACAUUGGUGAGAAUCCAAUGCCCCGAAAACCUAAGGGUUCCUCCACUAGGUUCGUCCAUGGAGGGUGAGUCAGGACCUAAGGCGAGGCCGAAAGGCGUAGUCGAUGGAAAACAGGUUAAUAUUCCUGUACUCAAUCUUUUCUGGUACCGAGGGACGAAGCAGGUAAAAGUUAGCCGAUGUUGGAGUUCGGUGGAAACGUUCAAGGCUAUGAGAGGUAGAAAAAAAACUAUCCUUGAGCUAAGACGUGAUACGGUUUUAUUCCCUGUAUCUGAAGCUUGUCUUCAGGUUCAUAAUAAAACUUAACUUCUUAUCAUACUUCCUAGAAAAGCUCGAACUACUAAACAAAAAGAUUGACCUGUACCCGAAACCGACACAGGUAGGUGGGUAGAGUAUACCUAGGGGCGCGAGAUAACUCUCUCUAAGGAACUCGGCAAAAUGGCCCCGUAACUUCGGGAGAAGGGGUGCCGGAGUAAAACUCCGGUCGCAGUGACCAGGCCCAGGCGACUGUUUACCAAAAACACAGGUCUCCGCUAAGUCGUAAGACAAUAUAUGGGGGCUGACGCCUGCCCAGUGCCGGAAGGUGAAGGAAGUUGGUUAUUCUUCGGAAGAAGCUGACAACCGAAGCCCCGGUGAACGGCGGCCGUAACUAUAACGGUCCUAAGGUAGCGAAAUUCCUUGUCGGGUAAGUUCCGACCCGCACGAAAGGCGUAACGAUCUGGGCACUGUCUCGGAGAGAGACUCGGUGAAAUAGACAUGUCUGUGAAGAUGCGGACUACCUGCACCUGGACAGAAAGACCCUAUGAAGCUUGACUGUAGCCUGGAAUUGGGUUUGGGCUCUUCUUGCGCAGACUAGGUGGGAGGCGUUGAAAGUUCCUUUCCGGAGGAGCUUGAGCCAUCAGUGAGAGACCACUCUGGAAGAGCUAGAAUUCUAAUGGCGAUCCUUGAAUCAGGACGCUUGACAGUUUCAGGCGGGCAGUUUGACUGGGGCGGUCGCCUCCUAAAAGGUAACGGAGGCGUGCAAAGGUUCCCUCAGGCUGGACGGAAAUCAGCCGUAGAGUGUAAAGGCAGAAGGGAGCUUGACUGCAAGACUUACAAGUCGAGCAGGGGCGAAAGCCGGCCUUAGUGAUCCGACGGUACCGAGUGGAAGGGCCGUCGCUCAACGGAUAAAAGUUACUCUAGGGAUAACAGGCUGAUCUUCCCCAAGAGUUCACAUCGACGGGAAGGUUUGGCACCUCGAUGUCGGCUCAUCGCAACCUGGGGCGGUAGUACGUCCCAAGGGUUGGGCUGUUCGCCCAUGAAAGCGGUACGUGAGCUGGGUUCAGAACGUCGUGAGACAGUUUGGUCCAUAUCCGGUGUAGGCGAUAGAGUAUUGAGAGGAGCCUUCCAUAGUACGAGAGGACCUGGAAGGACGCACCAAUAGUAUACCAGUUCUUGUGCCAACAGGAAACGCUGGGUAGCCAAGUGCGGAGAGGAUAACUGCUGAAAGCAUCUAAGUAGGAAGCCCACCUCAAGAUGAGUGCUCUCUUAAGGUCACGGUAAGACAAGCCGUUUGAUAGGUGUUAAGUGGAAGGCCAGUAAUGGUUGGAGCUAAGACAUACUAAUAGACCGAUUGAUUUUGAC